GGCAACCUUUCUCUCCACAACACCUCUGCCGUUGAGUUAUAACCGUCUCGGUGUUGUGACGUGAAUCGUCUCCCAGCAGAAUGUUUUCCCGCCGUCUAACUUAAUAUUUCACUUUUGUGGAUUUCCGCAGAGAAAGCAGCGACACCGGAGCAGAGAAACACCUCCGGACAGCACGGCACCGUUUAUCUGACUCAUUAUUACUCAUUAAAUCCACUGUUUUUGGAUCAAAGUGCUUUUAAAGACAGAUACUCGGCGAGAUCAACUUUAAAACGAGCGAGCUGAGCAGAAUGAUAAAUGACAGAAGCUCCCAGUGAGCUGCUGUAGCGUGAACUGGCCGCUGGGUGGCAGCACUGACCAGCAGCGUCACUGGGCUCCUUGCAAUGCCUCCUGGGAGCUGGGCUCAUCAUCCAGAUGAGAGGAGGAGCAGCAACAGUUGUCCUGCUUCACUGGUUUCUGUUCUAUUUACAGACUGGUGUGUGCAAGGCUUUAUGGGUACUCGGGACACGGAGGAUACAAACAAACAUCUUUGGAAUUUGGGCAAAAGAAGGACUCUGUCCUCUGGAGGAUCCUGGACAUUGGGACAGUCCUUCAGCUGUUGAUGACUUCGUAUCCUUCAAAUUCAGCCGUUUGCGGAUCCUUCCUUGACUUUGGGAUACAGCUUCUGAGUUGUUUAAUGUGUGGGCGGGGCUGAGAGUGAGGGGGCGGGGCUUGUGUCUCUGACGCGUGAUGAUGCUAUGAUACUUACGUUCUAUUUUAGGAUUUGAUAACGUCAUUCAGUUCCAACCAGUUGACCUGCGUAACUGUAUCUCAAAUCAGACACCGCUCGGCUAGGAUUUUAUCUAAAUUUCACAUUAACUACUAAUAUAAAUGAUCAUGUUAUGCUUCCAAUUAAUUAAAUGGUGUGAAACUAAACUACACACUAACUAAAGUCUAACUUGUUAUUUUUCGAACCAAAAUUUUUUUUUAACCGUGUACGUUAGCCUCGGGUUUACCAGAGCUGGCAAUAGGACGCUAACACCGGUGAAUUAGCCGUGUGCUAACUGUAUCCCAAAUCGGACACUUGGAUCUCCUGCUGUAAAACAAUAAAACAAUAAAACAAUGGGGGCUGCUGAGUUUUUCGGGGGAAAUUGGAUGUUUCUGGGAAAGCCAAAUAAAUAUCACCGUUAUCAACCAUCAUUAUAACACACCUGGACUUCUGACCUUCACAAUAAAAUGCAGUACAGUAAAAAUACAGAUGUAUUCUUAAGAUCGUCACCCAACUGUUCUUACUGCUUUCUCUCAUCAGAUUUUCUUUCAUAUUGUAAUUAGACAUGUAAAUCUCCAUGUACAUAAAUUAAAUUUCACACGUAGAUUUUUAAAUAUAUAUAAAUCAAUUAUACCUACACUGGUGGUGGCGAUCUUAUUCUAAAUGACUGUGAAAACACCGGAAAGUGCGGCAUUGCAGAUGUGUCAGAUUUGGGAUACAGUCUCUUUAAAUCAUUUAGUUUACAGAUAUUUCAGAUAAAUAAACAUGUUCAAAUGUGUGGAACCACUUUAAUGUUUUUUUAAAUAAUUAACUGGUGAAAUAAGUUAUGUAAGGGAUAAUGCCUUUAUUUCAGUAAGGUUUGAAUGCAGCACUUUUACUUGUGUUGGAGUAUUUUCACAGUGUGGUAUUAGUACUUUUACUGCAGUAAAGAUAUGAAUACUUCUUCCACUACUGGUUGCCAUGUAACAUGUCCAGCCUGACAGUAAAUACAUGGUGGACCUCCAGUUAGCAAAGUGGUUUGUUAUUGACGGUGACUGUUUUAUAAAUAUAUUUAAUAUAUAA